CCCACCAGCCCCUUCCUCUUCACUUUCUGGACUCUGGUAUGGUAAAUUUUUCUUUAUAUCUCACUCCUAUCCAGUAUACAUACACGGCUGGACCUCCCUGACACAUUGUUUCAACUUACGGCUCUGGCUAUAAAGAUGAGGAAACACUCACUCUUCCAAUGCAAUAGAUGGAAAACUGGUCAGGUACGGCGGCUCAUGCCUGUAAUCUCAGCACUUUGGAAGGCCAAGGCGGGUGGAUCACCUGAGCUCAGGAGUUCGAGACCAGCCUGGGCAACAUGGCAAAACCCUGCCUCUACAAAAAAUACAAAAACCUAGCUAGGCAUAGUGGUGAGUGCCUAUAGUCCCAGCUACUUGGGAGGCUGAGGUGGGAGGAUCACUUGAGCCUGGGAGGCAGAGGUUGCAGUGAGCCAAAAUUGUACUGCUGCACUCCAGCCUGGGUGACAGAGUGAGACCCAGUCUCAAUAAUAUUUUUAAAAAUUAAGAUGGAAAAGUGUGACACACACACAAACACAUGUUGUAUAUAUCAUUAAGGAAUUUUUUUCAUGUAAUUGUGGGAGCUGACAAGCCUAAAUUGGUAGCAGCCUGGCAGGCUGGAAACUCAGGC
rnacentral:lncRNA from 1 species